CUUCAAGCUGCUAUUAAAUCAUUUUUCUGUAAUUUUUCUGCAAGUCAAAUGAAAAUUACGCUUUCCUCGGAAUUUAACAAAAAGGAAGCACUGAUAAGAAAAAUCAUUCAAUUUGGAACGCAAGUACCUGCAUACAUUUAGUAACAUAACCUGCAAAGAACAGCUAUUUAUAAUAGAAAAAAGAGGACUAGGGACAUAAAUCCCCCAACUUCCAAGCCCGAUUUUCAAAGGACUCUGAGAAAAUACUGAUGUUGAUUUCAGAACGCACUUAUUCUGAAGACAGAAAAUUCGAAAAAAAAAAACAGUAAGCAAAGAGUGCGCAAUCGAGAAAUAACUCUACUUUUUGGUUAAAAAUUAUUGAACUGACUCUCAAUCAUAAUCGUACUCGAAAUCUAGCCAAAAGAAAGCACCGACGAAAAAAAAUCCGUUCAGUGGAAGUUUGGAAUGCUAGUACAUUUAAGUAACAUAUAACCUGCAAAGAACAGCUAACUAUAAAAAAAUUGAAAAAGGCAAGAAAAAAAAGGAAUAGCGAUUCGUAUUUCCUGGACAAAACCAACGAAUCAAAUACUGAAAAAAGAUUGAAGAAAGGCGGUUCAAAUGACUGCCCGGAUAGAAGAAUGUUGGAAAAUCAGCUUCCAAUAUCGUCAACAAAAAAGAUUGAAGAAAAGCGGUUCAAAUGACUGCCCGGAUAGAAGAAUGUUGGAAAAUCAGCUUCCAAUAUCGUCAACGCAUAUAAUGGUAAGUCCAACAUUUUUAUACUCACAGUAAAUUCCGCGCUGAAGGCUAGUCUGUUCGUGUGAGGCACCGCGGGCGUUUCCGUCUAAGUUUGUUGAUAAAAUAUUCCUAAUACACAAUAGUGCCUACCGGAACGGCACGGCAAUGUUCUUCAUCAGUCCUGAAGAAGACCCUAACCAACACAUGAUACUUCGGAAGAUUACACCUUGCGAGCAAACAGUUUCAUGAACAUUUUGCGCACUAUUCAUACAAACCUUCAU